CUGAGCAAAUAGCCAAGAUCCUACUGAGAAAUUGAGCGACUGCAUUACUGCAGAGAGCAUGGAGAGUUUUCUCUGAUGACAGAGUAUUCCCUGAGCAUUCAAUGAAUCUUUUACUUUUAUCGUGGGGCUUCUAGUAAGAAAGUCAGAAUGCAAACUUUGUCCUGACUUAAUUGCAUCUGAGGAGGGUGAUGGCUGGAAGCAGCAGGAGAAAGAAGGAAGCUUAGACCAUGCGAGCUUCGUCCAGCAUCCAAUGACCUGUCCAUCUUCUCCUUCCACUGUUUUGCCUUUGGGCGACCCACUUCACAGGAUAAGAUGAGGGACACCAUGAUAUAUUCUCAGAUUUCUAUGAUUUUAUGAGAAGUCUGUGCUCAGAAUAACUUUUCACUGUUUUCUAUUGGCAUUUCAGAAGGUGUAUCCAUUUUACACAUCUCUUUGAAGAACUUGCAACAACAGUUAGUCAAACAGUGAAAAACUUUAAAGAUGCUAAUACUGUGGUGCGAUUUGAAAAUAUGAGUUAUUCAUAAGAAAAAUGCUAAAAUAUUAAAAAGAAUUAGAGUGAAGGGGUACACUAUUGCAUUUAUUCUUGGUAAACAUCCAUGCCACUGUAUCUUUUUGAAGUAUGUG
rnacentral:sRNA from 1 species